rnacentral:rRNA from 1 species
CUAGCCGUAAACGAUGGAUACUAGGUGUGGGUGUCGCAGGGCAUCCGUGCCGCAGCUAACGCGUUAAGUAUCCCGCCUGGGGACUACGGUCGCAAGACUGAAACUCAAAGGAAUUGACGGGGGCCCGCACAAGCGGUGGAGCACGUGGUUUAAUUCGAUGCAAACCGAAGAACCUUACCUGGGUUUGACAUGCAGGUGGUAGAGAGAAGAGAUUUAAUCGACUCUGCAGUAAUGCAGAGAGCCUGCACAGGUGC